rnacentral:lncRNA from 1 species
GCUUGAGGGGGACGAGGUUUGUGGUUUUAGUCUGUUUCACUGCAACGUCAGGGAGAUAGGACUUGUUAUAGUGGGAUCCACUCUACUGCAACUUCAGAGAGAUAAGAUCUGUGGCUCUUCGAGAAAACAUUUACUAUCUUCAGUCUGCGACACUUCAACCUCAGUGUGAUAAGACUUGCAGCUUCAACUUGUUUUAUUGCAUCUUUAAGAAAUAAAAUCUGAUGCGAUCUGCUCUACUGCAACUUCAGAGAGAUAAGAUCUGCGAUUUUAAUCAGCUCCACUGCAACAUCAGGGAGAUAGGAUUGACUUCUUCUAUCUGCUCCACUGCAACUUCAGGGAGAUAAGACUGGAUGCGAUCUGCUCUACUGCAACUUCAGAGAGAUAAGAUCUAUGAUUUUAAUCCGCUCUACUGCAACUUUAGGGAGAUAGGACUGGUUUCUUCUGUCUGCUCCACUGCAACUUCAGGGAUAAGACUGGAUGCGAUCUGUUCUACUGCAACUUCAGAGAGAUAGGAUUGGUUUCUGCUGUGUGCUCCACUGCAACUUCAGGGAGAUAAGAUCUGUGAUUUUAAUCCGCUCUACUGUAACUUCAGAGAGAUAGGAUUGGUUUCUUCUGUCUUCUCCACUGUAACUUCAAGGAGAUAAUACUGGAUGCGAUCUGUUCUACUGCAACUUCAGAGAGAUAAGAUCUGUGAUUUUAAUCCGCUCUACUGUAACUUCAGAGAGAUAGGAUUGGUUUCUUCUGUCUACUCCACUACAACUUCAGGGAGAUAAGACUGGGUACGAUCUGCUCUACUGCAACUUCAGAAAGAUAAGAUCUGCGAUUUUCAAUCUGUUUAACUGCGAUGUUAGAGAAAUUAGAUUCACCACCGUAGUUUCAAUCUGUUCUACUGCAUCGCCUGAGAAGUAAGAUUCGCCGUCGUGACUUCAAUCUAUUGAAAUUGCAAUGUCGGGGAAGUGAGAUUCGCUGUUGUAUCUUCAAUUUGUUCCGCUGCAUCGCUUGGAAGUAAGAUCUACCGUUGUGGCAUCAAUCUUUUAAAUUGCAAUGUCGGGGAAGUGAGAUUCGCCGUCGUAGCUUCAAUCUGUUCUGCUGCAUCACCUGGGAAUUAAGAUUCACUGUUGUAGCUUCAAUCUUUUUAACUGCCGAGGAAGCAAGAUUCGCUGUUGUAGCUUCAAUCUGUUCCACUGCAUUGCUUGGAAGUAAGAUUCACCAUUGUGACUUCAAUCUUUUGAGUUGCAAUGUCGGGGAAGCGAGAUUCACCGUCGUAGCUUCAAUCUGUUCCGCUACAUCGCCUGGGAAGUAAGAUUCGCCAUUGUGACUUCAAUCUUUUGAGUUGCAAUGUCGAGGAAGCGAGAUUCACCGUCGUAGUUUCAAUCUGUUCUGCUGCAUCGCCUGGGAAGUAAGAUUCGCCAUUGUGACUUCAAUCUUUUGAGUUGCAAUGUCAGGGAAGCGAGAUUUACCGUCGUAGCUUCAAUCUGUUCCGCUGCAUCGCCUGGGAAGUAAGAUUCGCCAUUGUGACUUCAAUCUUUUGAGUUGCAAUGUCGAGGAAGCGAGAUUCACCGUCGUAGCUUCAAUCUGUUCUGCUGCAUCGCCUGGGAAGUAAGAUUUGCCAUUGUGGCUUCAAUCUUUUUAAUUGCAAUGUCAGGAAAGUAAGAUCUGCUGUUGUAGCUUCAAUCUAUUCCACUGCAACGCUAGGAAUGUAAGAUCCGCUGUUGUAGCUUCAAUCUUCUUAAUUACAAUGUCAGGGAAGUAAGAUCCGCUGUUGUAGCUUCAAUCUGUUCCACUGCAACGCUAGAAAAGUAAGAUCCGCUGUUGUAGCUUCAAUCUUUUUAAUUGCAAUGUCAGGGAAAUAAGAUCCGCUGUUGUAGCUUCAAUCUGUUCCACUGCAACACUAGAAAAGUAAGAUCCGUUGUUGUAGCUUCAAUCUUUUUAAUUGCAAUGUCAGGAAAGUAAGAUCCGCUGUUGUAGCUUCAAUCUGUUCCACUGCAACGCUAGGAAAGUAAGAUCCGCUGUUGUAGCUUUAAUCAAGAUUCACCGAUGUGGCUUUAAUCUUUUUAACUGCAAUGUCAGAGAAACAAGAUUCACCAAUUUGGCUUUAAUCUAUUUCACUGCAUUGCUUGGGGCGUAAGAUUUGCUGUUGUAGCUUUAAUCAAGAUUUACUGAUGUGGCUUUAAUCUUUUUAACUGCAAUGUCAGAGAAACAAGAUUCACCAAUUUGGCUUUAAUCUAUUCCACUGCAUCGCUUGGGGCGUAAGAUUCGCUGUUGUAGCUUUAAUCAAGAUUCACCAAUGUGGCUUUAAUCUUUUUAACUGCAAUGUCGGAGAAACAAGAUUCACCAAUUUGGCUUUAAUCUAUUUCACUGCAUUACUUGGGGCGUAAGAUUCGCUGUUGUAGCUUUAAUCAAGAUUCAUCGAUGUGGCUUUAAUCUUUUUAACUACAAUGUCGGAGAAACAAGAUUCACCAAUUUGGCUUUAAUCUAUUCCACUGCAUCGCUUGAGGCGUAAGAUUCGCUGUUGUAGAUUUAAUCAAGAUUCACCGAUGUGGCUUUAAUCUUUUUAACUGUAAUGUCGGAGAAACAAGAUUCACCAAUUUGGCUUUAAUCUAUUCCACUGCAUUGAUUGGGGCGUAAGAUUUGCUGUUGUAGCUUUAAUCAAGAUUCACCGAUGUGGCUUUAAUCUUUUUAACUGCAAUGUCGGAGAAACAAGAUUCACCAAUUUUGCUUUAAUCUAUUCCACUGCAUCGCUUGGGGCGUAAGAUUCGCUGAGGUGGCUUUAAUCGUUUGAAUUGCAAACUAUGGUUUCUUCGAUCUGCUUCACUGUCAAUACAGGAAGGCAAGAUCUGCUAUCUUCAUUGAUCUAUUCUCUGGGAAACAUGACCUGUAUAAUCCAUUUGAUGGACCUAUUUAUGCCUAGUGUUUAGGAUGUCAUGAUUAAAAUGAAUCAAAAUUUCCUAACUAGAUGUGUAUGAAUGAUAUUUGCAUGAAUGCAGA